rnacentral:rRNA from 1 species
GGACGCGCAUUUAUAAGCGUCGCAUGCUGUCGGGUCAAACCGGUGGUGUGUCGGCGUUGCGGGCUCGGUCCGCUGGAGGACCAGCGUGUCAACCGGCCCGCCCGUCCCCUCCUUCUGGAUUCCCGUUCCUGCUAUUGAGUUAGUGGGGACGUCACAGGGGAUUGUCUUUGAGUGUUGGCCGUUAAAAAGUCAGUACUCAGGGACAGUUUCUGGGGCCCAGAUCGUUUACCGUGAAAAAAUUAGAGUGUUCAAAGCAGGCAGACAUUAAUCUCUGCCACCGAAUACAUUAGCAUGGGAUAAUGGAAUAGGACCCUGUCCUCCUAUUUUCAGUUGGUUUUCGAGGACCAGGGUA